ACAAUUUAAAACCAAAAAUAUUUUAGGUCUGAGAAACUCCCAAGUGAAGAGGGGUGCUGCCAUUUACAUUCAUUUGGAUGGACAUAUGGUCUGGUUUGGUAUGAAGAUGCAUAUACUUACAUCAUUAAAAUCCCUCAAUGCCUAUAUAAAGUUAAAUUUUAUAAAACAGAUACAUAUUUAGUGUCCUCUCUAUGCAGACUUUAUAAUAAUGGAUGUCUCCAAAGAGAAACAGCAUUUUGAAGCAGUGUGAAUAAUAUGGACUUAGAAAUUUUUUUUCCUUUAAAAAUCAAACUUGAUUCCAAUUGGAUGAUUAUACUUCAAUGCAUUUCUGUGUGUUCAGAUGUGGCUAACAUCUUCCAGUGGAGUCAUAAGGGAAUACACACACCAGGACAACCAGAAGAGAAUGAAACCUUAAAAUACCACUUUCCUGGAGGAUGCAGGGCUGGCCCUGCCUUAUGGAAUGCUUCAUGGAUAUUUAGAUUUCUCUGAGUGGUCUUGAAGAUUUAUAAGCUCUUAUAGCCAUUUAAGUGGGUAUUACUGCCUUUCUGAAAGAGCUUGAUAUAGUUACUGUAAAAUUUCUGCCAGCAUUGCCAGCUGACCCUGUAACUUCUUGGAGACAAAGAGGCUCGGUUUAUGGAAGCUGUGCACCCCAGCUGUUCCCAUUUUCAUGAACGAGCUCAAGGUGCUUGACUAAGAAUCAAUAAAGUUAUAAACUCCAGACUGGAUUUUUGAAAG
rnacentral:lncRNA from 1 species